CCUACGGGAGGCAGCAGUGAGGAAUAUUGGUCAAUGGACGAGAGUCUGAACCAGCCAAGUAGCGUGAAGGAUGACUGCCCUAUGGGUUGUAAACUUCUUUUAUAUGGGAAUAAAAUGUUCCACGUGUGGGAUUUUGUAUGUACCAUAUGAAUAAGGAUCGGCUAACUCCGUGCCAGCAGCCGCGGUAAUACGGAGGAUCCGAGCGUUAUCCGGAUUUAUUGGGUUUAACGGGAGCGUAGGGGGAUUGUUAAGUCAGUUUUGAAAGUUUGCGGCUCAACCGUAAAAUUGCAGUUUAAACUGGCAGUCUUGAGUACCGUCGAGGUGGGCGGACUUCGUGUUGUCGCGGU
rnacentral:rRNA from 1 species